rnacentral:lncRNA from 1 species
ACGGUGAAGAGCGCACAUGCUCCGCAGUCGCGGGCGGCCUAGCGGCGCCGCGCACACAGAUGGCAGUGGUGCUCCGGUCUUCUGCAAGCUGUGUCACUGGCCACCCGUCGCCUCCUGCCUCUGUGUCCCCGUAGUGAGGCGAGAGCCCAGCACCUACCUCCAGACUGUUGCUGGCGGGGCUGGUUUGCGGAGCCCAGCGCCCCUGCAUCCUCCACACCCUCAGGUCCCCAGCACCUGGACCGUCGAUGCCAGGCAGAGCUCCGCAGAGGGUCACCUUCUGGACUCCUGUUCGCAUGUGAAUGGCAGGGCCAGCCCACUUGGUCGGGAACGUUCUUCACAUGUCUGUGCUGAUGCUCCUUAGCGUUCUCUAUUGCGUGUGUCAUUUCACCCUGGCUGGAGGCCUGUCAGCAGCUGCUGCCGCGAUCGUGUGUGCUUCAGGAACCUCAAGCUCAAAAUGCUUGCAACCGAACUGAGAAAUUCUUUAAAAUGUGAUUAUUUCCUUGUCUUUUCUGUUUAGGAAAUGGCACUGUUAUUUCAUCCUGCAAGUCACCUUUGGCUCUUGGUCAAUUAUUUUCAUUCCGGCUCUGAACAAAUGGGACUUUCUUAGAAAUGCUGUUUCUUAGGACUGUGUCUAAAUUAGCUGCCUCGCUAACAUUUUUCCUCCUUAGUUUGUUUUAUUUGUAGCAUGUUUUCCAACUGGAAAAUUAUUAACUUAUUUGUUUGUUUGAGUCUGUGAAAUCAAAAACUUUGUCUUGUUAACCUUAUGUAUCAGCAUCAUAAUAAGCCGUUGUGUGUAGGAAACGCACAAGUCCUUGAGUGAAGAAGUGGACUGAUAAGCUACUACUGUCUGUUCAGUAAGCACUCCAGAGAGCCAACGGGUAUCAAGGACUUGCAGAGAAUGUUGGUUUCUAUCCUGCUUGUAAAACAAUAUCCAUUAAAAAACUAAUAUCUAUUGCUCAUAAACAGUGGAUAUAUGUUUAAAAAUGCACUUACUAUUUCAAUCCCUACUUUUUCAUUCUUUGACACAUAGGGAUAUGACAUUCAGUUAUCCUUGGGUGUUCUCUAUAGAAGUCCAUAGCAUGCUUGGAAAUAUUGAUAAAAACAGCAGCACAGUGUCUGAUACAUAGUAACCACUUCCAUAAAUAGCUGUUGCAUUGAACCACACCUUGGAAAAUUUGUUCUCACACUAGUCUGUCAUUUGAUGAUGCAGGGAUACCUAAUUUCUAGAUCAGAAAAAUAAGGUCUCCAAUAUUAUUUUAGCAUUUUGUAAUCAUUGUUUGUAAACUUGAUAUUCAAACUUUAUGGGGUUUUUUCCUCAAUUUUUUGCAAGAUGGUGAUGUACGUGUGAGUUAUGGAGCCCUUGGCACUGCUCCCUAGAAAGGUGGGUCAUACCUAAAGCCCUGGGGUGCUCGGUAGGCAUUUGCAAUAUAUGUUCUGAAGGAAAACAUACAAGUGCCUUCAAUAGCUUACCAACAUAUAUACUGCUUUAACACAUAAACAUUCUUUAUUGUGGCUUUUGAAAGAAUUACAAAAUGUUUCAUUUUAUGAUAUGUUUUUAGUGAAAUACUUACCAACUCUUUUAUGAGUCUAAAUGAAGGGUUGUGAAUUUUGGACAAUGAGCUUUCAUAAAUAUUCACUGAAAAACCAUUAACACUUUAUUCCUUGUACAGAAAAUUUAAUUAAUUAAAAGUUAAAACAAACUUUUUCAGUGCAUUCUAGUUAGAUAUAAAGGAGUUGAUUCUGUUACAUUUAUUGAUUAUAUUUUAUAAAAUAACAUGAGCUUGUGAGUUUGCAGUCAUUGUGUGUGUUGAUAGCAUAAAACACUGCAAAAAGGGUGUGCUAAUUCCAUUAGAAAUUUUACAUAAAACCUCAGAUCAAAGAUAUUUUAGUAACAACUUCAAAGAUAUUUCACAAAAGAAUUAUUUCACCAAGAAAUUCUACUACAAGGAUGAACUGUAUUUUAAUGAUCAAGGGAAGUUAGUUUUAAUGAAGUUCACUGAAGGAAGCCCUUCAAGUUCUCCAAUAUGAUCAUAUACUCUGAUGAUCCAACCCCAGUAGACAUGUACAGACGUACAUGGGGUUUUGCUAAAAAAGGCUGAAGAUAGUUCUUGAUUUUCCACAAGCUGUCUAAUGUACAGCUAGAGAUUAACUUAAAACUAAAAGGAGAACACUAAUUGGGUUAAAUUGGUAACAAGUGAUAUAUAUGUCAUGUUUUUCAAAUGCAUACAAUAAUUUAAGACUUCUUAUAUAUAACAUUUUGAAGAAUAUUUAGGUUUUGAUAACUUUAUUUUCACAAGAAGAAAUAAAGACAUUUGUGAGAUAAAUGCUGUUUUCCUUACACAAGUACAUUUAGAUAAAAUCCAGACUUACAUGGAACAAAUUCUGAAUUUCAUUAACCUUCAUCAACAAAUAUAAAUGUAAAUUAUAUAUUGUGAGAAUUAGAUAUAAGGAAAUUUGUCUUGGUUUCUGUGAUUAGCUCAAAGUAAUGUUAAACCUGUAACCUCCGAUUCCCGACUUUCAAUCCUAAUAUCUAGGUCACCCUUCUUCCCAAUUCUGUGAAAUAUAGUCUUCCUCAAAAGAAUAAUAAUGUAUAAUUAAAUGGUAUAUUAUGCAUCAUAUAUUACAAAUUGUGAUGCUCAGAUUCUGCAUUAAGACUUUCUGCUGUGACUUGAGGGUCCCCGUUUGGCCAUGUGAGGGAUGAAGACAGUGACAGAAUCCCAAGCGAGGUACUGAAUUGAUGUAUGUGCCAUCUUGAAAACCAAAAAAGAAAAGAUCAGCUUGCUGGAGGUAUUUAAUCAAUCUUGCUGUGCAUAUUAAAUGUGCAUUCAAAGAAAAAUGUGUUUUAAUUACAGCUUAAAUGCCUUCUGAAUGCUAAUAUGACAAGGAUUGAAGCACUUUGUUUUGCUUAGCUCGAUAUUUCACAGUUAGCACAUUGCUUGCAAUGGGAUAUUUAAAAAGUUAUUUCAGCUGGAAAGUUUUGUAGUUUCAAGAAAGAAGAGGCAAAAUAAGAAAGACAAUUGGUUUCUUUAUUUAACAAAUAGUCCUAAAGAAACUGUAACCUCAGAAAUCUCCCUAUUCUAGCAAAUUUGCUUGGUCAGCUCCAUGCUGGGCUUUCAUGGUACAACUCCUCAGCAUGAUGAAUGCUACCUCCACCCACUUACACAUGCUUUUCUGAGGGUUUUCUUUCUGGUUGUCUGCUUACAAAAUCAUCUUCAUCAAUCCAACUGUAGAUAUCUUAAGGGCAGGGAGAUUGUUUUUCCUCCCCACUAGUGUUUGGAAUAGUAUAUUGCAUGGUCAGAGUGGUCAGUAAUGAUGAUGACUAGACAACUGAUGCUCUAUCCUGUUCCCAGAUGCAGGUCCAGAUAUAUCUAUGUUGUCGGGGUUGGGUAAGGAGGGUAGGAUAAAAUGAGGUAAAACACAAUUAUCUUCACCCCCAGAUUAAAUGGGGAUGAGGGCAUGUGGUCCCAGUGCUGGUAGGGAAUGAGAUAGUGAGAGGAGUAAGGCAAAAGCCUCAAAAUAUUGAUAAGCUUUCGCCAAUCAUUUGAAAUCAGUUUGGAUUCAUGAAAGAAUACUAACUUGUACUUUUGGGUUCAAUGUCAUAGUUGCGUACAUAGAAGACUGCCAUAUUUUGAGGCAAUUCUAUCUUUGGCAAAUCAGGAUUUUCCCUAGCAGGCAAGCAAAACUUUUGCAAAGAUUUAGUAUAUAAUCACUUAAAAUUCCAUAUCUCCUUGCAUGUUUUUGUGAUUGAGUGUAUGUGUUUGAAUCCAUAUAGAAAUAAUACUUUAGAAAUGUACCGAUGAUUGCUAUAACAUUAAUUGUUUAUGUCUUUCUAUAGUUAACUAUUCAUGAAUUGCCUUUACUGAUCUUGAUUACAUUUAAACUAUCACAUAAUGUUAGAAUAUAUUUACAGUAUGAAUGAGUUUUCUAUCAUUUCUGGCCACAGCUUGGGAAAAUUCUGCCAAAGUGAUUUUUUUUUCUGUUUUUCUGUGGUAGAACUUACCAAAAUAUAUUGCCCUCCCUGGCCUGAGGUUCAAAACCCAUUUGGAGCUUUGGAUCAUCUGAUAAAAGUUAAUAUUGUACUUCAUCUGAAAGUUCAGCAGUGGUUUUUUUUUGUUUUUUUACAUAAGGAAAAAAAUAUCAGGGAAGUGAAAUAACCCCAUAGUUGAACAUUACACUCUCAAUUAGGCAAUAACUAGUGAAAGGUAGAAUAAAUACCACUGGUGAAACUAUUCUUUUUUUUUUUUUUUAGGGGCAGGUCUUGGAUUGUAAAAUUUUAUUUCUAAUGAAUAAUGUAUAAUGUAUAAUUUACUGCUUUCACCGUGUUAGAUGAUUUGGGCUCUGAUAUGCUAUCAAAAUGCUAUUAAAAUGCAUCCUGUAUCUCCACCCCCAAAGCUUAUAGCACCUCUGGUUUUAAUUCUUACUAAGAAUUGUUUUGCGUAAGUUUAGUUGGAGGAUACGCGGGAAAAAGUGACUGCAUGUGUGAAAUUUUAUGUCAGAAAAUAUGGAUAUUACAUUCCCAAAAUAGCAAUGCCUACAUUCAUGGGUAGAGAUAAAUCAAGAUUGAUGUAAUGGAAGAUACUGUAUAAUAAAAUAGCUGAUUCAUGU